GACGAACGCUGGCGGCGUGCUUAACACAUGCAAGUCGAGCGGAGCGGCGAACGGGUGAGUAACGCGUGAGUAACUGCCCCCCUCUCUGGGAUAACAGUUGGAAACGGCUGCUAAUACCGGAUAGUGGGGGAUGACUCGCGUCCUAUCGGCUUGUUGGUGGGGUAUUGGCGUACCAAGUGGACGACGGGUAGCCGGCCUGAGAGGGCGACCGGCCACAUGGGGCUGAGAUACGGACCAAACGCCAACGGGAGGCAGUAGGGGGAAAUAGUGCACAUUGGGGGAAACCCUGAUGCAGCAUCGCCGCGUGCGGGAUGACGGCCUUCGGGUUGUAAACCGCUUUCAGCCAUGACGCGGUAGUGGCAGAAGAAGCACCGGCUAACUACGUGCCAGCAGCCGCGGUAAUUC
rnacentral:rRNA from 1 species